GAUGAAGAACGUAGCGAAAUGCGAUAAGUAAUGUGAAUUGCAGAAUUCAGUGAAUCAUCGAAUCUUUGAACGCAUCUUGCGCUCCUUGGUAUUCUGAGGAGCAUGCCUGUUUGAGUGUCAUUAAAUUCUCAACUACACUGACUUUGAAUUGGUGUGGCUUGGAUUUGGGGGGAAAAUUGUUGUGGGCUUUUUGUAUAGUCUGCUCCCCUGAAAUUGAUUAGCGGUACCUUUGUGGAACUGUCUACAGGUGUGAUAAUUAUCUACAUCUUAGACAUCUGCUGGAAUGCUGCUUUCUAAACCUUACUUGUAUUGACAAUCUUAACCUCAAAUCAGGUAGGACUACCCGCUGAACUUAAGCAUAUCAAUAAGCGGAGGA
rnacentral:misc_RNA from 1 species